GACGAACGCUGGCGGCGUGCUUAACACAUGCAAGUCGAGCGGUAAGGCCUUUCGGGGUACACGAGCGGCGAACGGGUGAGUAACACGUGGGUGAUCUGCCCUGCACUUCGGGAUAAGCCUGGGAAACUGGGUCUAAUACCGGAUAUGACCUCAGGUUGCAUGACUUGGGGUGGAAAGAUUUAUCGGUGCAGGAUGGGCCCGCGGCCUAUCAGCUUGUUGGUGGGGUAAUGGCCUACCAAGGCGACGACGGGUAGCCGACCUGAGAGGGUGACCGGCCACACUGGGACUGAGACACGGCCCAGACUCCUACGGGAGGCAGCAGUGGGGAAUAUUGCACAAUGGGCGAAAGCCUGAUGCAGCGACGCCGCGUGAGGGAUGACGGCCUUCGGGUUGUAAACCUCUUUCAGCAGGGACGAAGCGCAAGU
rnacentral:rRNA from 3 species